UUGCUCUCGGGUGNGAGCGGCGGANGGGUGAGUAUGUCUGGGAAACUGCCUGAUGGAGGGGGAUAACUACUGGAAACGGUAGCUAAUACCGCAUAANGUCGCAAGACCAAAGUGGGGGACCUUCGGGCCUCAUGCCAUCAGAUGUGCCCAGAUGGGAUUAGCUAGUAGGUGGGGUAACGGCUCACCUAGGCGACGAUCCCUAGCUGGUCUGAGAGGAUGACCAGCCACACUGGAACUGAGACACGGUCCAGACUCCUACGGGAGGCAGCAGUGGGGAAUAUUGCACAAUGGGCGCAAGCCUGAUGCAGCCAUGCCGCGUGUGUGAAGAAGGCCUUCGGGUUGUAAAGCACUUUCAGCGGGGAGGAAGGCGNUNAGGUUAAUAACCUUGUCGAUUGACGUUACCCGCAGAAGAAGCACCGGCUAACUCCGUGCCAGCAGCCGCGGUAAUA
rnacentral:rRNA from 1 species